UACGUAGGGGGCGAGCGUUGUCCGGAUUUAUUGGGCGUAAAGAGCUCGUAGGCGGUUUGGUAAGUCGGGUGUGAAAUCUCCACGCUCAACGUGGAGGGGCCACUCGAUACUGCCAUGACUCGAGUCCGGUAGAGGAGUGUGGAAUUCCCGGUGUAGCGGUGAAAUGCGCAGAUAUCGGGAGGAACACCGGUGGCGAAGGCGGGUCUCUGGGCCGUAACUGACGCUGAGGAGCGAAAGCAUGGGGAGCGAACAGG
rnacentral:rRNA from 1 species